CAGCAGCAGGGCUGUGUGUCUAAAGGGGAGACGGUCGGUCUCCAGCAGCAGGGCUGUGUGUCUAAAGGGGAGACGGUCGGUCUCCAGCAGCAGGGCUGUGUGUCUAAAGGGGAGACGGUCGGUCUCCAGCAGCAGGGCUGUGUGUCUAAAGGGGAGACAGUCGGUCUCCAGCAGCAGGGCUGUGUGUCUAAAGGGGAGACAGUCGGUCUCCCCCUCCAACAACCAGGCUUCAACCAGGCUACCUUCCCAGUAGCGCUGGCACCAGGGCAG